rnacentral:rRNA from 1 species
UACGGAGGGUGCAAGCGUUGUCCGGAUUUAUUGGGUUUAAAGGGUGCGUAGGCGGCCCUGUAAGUCAGUGGUGAAAGCCUCCAGCUCAACUGGAGAACUGCCAUUGAUACUGCAGGGCUUGAGUACAGACGAGGUAGGCGGAAUUGAUGGUGUAGCGGUGAAAUGCAUAGAUACCAUCAAGAACUCCGAUUGCGUAGGCAGCUUACUAGGCUGUAACUGACGCUGAGGCACGAAAGCGUGGGGAGCGAACAGG